AGCAGCAAUCUGUGUUUGGAGCUCCUCCAGCCUGAAGAAAAUCGGGGCCGAGGGGGGAGAAGAGUGGUCAUUUUGGGGGAGAACCUAUCCUCCAGGUGUUUGACGAAGGCGUCCGCCUUUUCUUUAGAGGAACGGGUCCAUAUGUGGUCGGAGGAAGCUGGCGAGUGUCCAGAGGACUUGGACUGUACUGGGAUCUUGAGAGGAUGGUCAGAUUGGGGUCGACAUUUGAUGUGCCUGGUGAGGGAUCCUCUUUCAUUUUGGAGAAACAUGCUUGCAAUAGCUGAAGAAGGAUGCUGGCUGGUUUAUCAAGCUUAGUCGUGUGACGAGAAGGACGUUUGAUCGAAUAUCGGGAGGCGUUGUUUGCGGUGGGAGUGGCGUGUAAAGCAGCGCUCUCAAUGUUUUUAAAUGGUCCCUGAAUGCUUUGAUUCUGUGAGAUCCUCGUGGGAGGGGAGGAGGUCU